rnacentral:lncRNA from 1 species
ACGUAUACUCACACCACGCUCUUCCGAUCUUAGACUUAGUAUGACAAAAUGGAGUUGAAGCUCGCUGAACUUUUGGGCAGAGUAACGUUGUAUGAAAGUUUUAAUGCGAAAGGCUAAAGGAUUUUACCGCGAGACUGUAUCGGAACUAGAUGACGAAUCUGGAG